GAGUAACAUACACUAGUAACA
rnacentral:miRNA from 1 species